GCACAUGUGCUGUGCAGUGACAUAUUACCGUGUUGAUAGAUAUUGUGUGCGUUUAUUGUGUGCUUAUCGUACUUCACAUUCGUCGACUGGAUAUUUUGCGCGUUUCGGAACGUCCUCCCGCAUUGAUCAAGUGGGGGAUGAUGCAUCGUCGUUCGUCGCCGCUCAGAACAGCCUCAUCGGACGCGCUGCUUUGUCUCCGCGCUCAAAAGUGCUUUCUUGCUUCGUUUAUCGAUUACCCACGUUAAUCGCGUGAUUCAAUAUCGAGUGUACCUCCAAAGACAAUCCACUUCCCAGUGUUGUGACAAGCGGCGACCGCGGUUGUACAGGAGCGGAAGCGUGAGCCUUUUGACGAGCGACUGUGAAGAAUGCAAAGCCAGUGCCAAACUUCGGAACCGAUAGCCCGGGCGGCGUGUUGGCACAGCGAGGAUGAGAACGAGAGACCCGAUAGACAGCGAUGACAGCUGUUCACGGCACCGACACAGAGGACAUAUUGCAGUGCAAGAUAGGAGCGGUCUUCCUGCAAGCCCAGACAAGCCAUAUUGAGUGGUUUCAAAUACAGCAACUGUACCACCACGACAGUGCAGCACAAGAGACCCUAUCGUCAGUGCUGAGCCAGAAAUUAAAUAGAAAAGCGCUUUCUCCUGAAAUCUUUCGUCUGGUUUUAUUUCGUUUGUUUGU
rnacentral:lncRNA from 1 species